AUACGGAGGGCGCAAGCGUUGCCCGGAAUCACUGGGUGUAAAGGGUGCGUAGGCGGGGCUGUAAGUCAGAGGUGAAAGCCCUCGGCUCAACCGGGGAAUUGCCUCUGAUACUGCAGCUCUUGAGUCCCGGAGAGGCCGCUGGAAUUCCUGGUGUAGCGGUGAAAUGCGUAGAUAUCAGGAGGAACACCGGAGGCGAAGGCGGGCGGCUGGACGGGGACUGACGCUGAGGCACGAAAGCGUGGGGAGCGAACAGGAUUAGAAACCCUAGUAGUCC
rnacentral:rRNA from 1 species